UUAGGGCACUGGAAGGUCCCUAAACCGAAAGGGGCUCUGCCCGCCCGAGGAUGGGCCGGCGGCCGAUUAGGUAGUUGGUGGGGUAACGGCCCACCAAGCCCAUAAUCGGUACGGGCAGUGAGAGCUGGAGCCCGGAGAUGGACACUGAGACACGGGUCCAGGCCCUACGGGGCGCAGCAGGCGCGAAACCUCCGCAAUGCUCGAAAGAGCGACGGGGGGACCCCAAGUGCCGUGGUACAACCACGGCUUUUCCGGAGUGUAAGAAGCUCCGGGAAUAAGGGCUGGGCAAGGCCGGUGGCAGCCGCCGCGGUAAUACCGGCGGCCCGAGUGGUGGCCACUAUUAUUGGGCCUAAAGCGUCCGUAGCCGGGCUUGUAAGUCCCUGGCGAAAUCCCACGGCUCAACCGUGGGGCUUGCUGGGGAUACUGCAAGCCUUGGGACCGGGAGAGGCCGGGGGUACUCCUGGGGUAGGGGUGAAAUCCUAUAAUCCCAGGAGGACCGCCAGUGGCGAAGGCGCCCGGCUGGAACGGGUCCGACGGUGAGGGACGAAGGCCAGGGGAGCAAACCGGAUUAGAUACCCGGGUAGUCCUGGCUGUAAAGGAUGCGGGCUAGGUGUUGCUUGGACCUCGAGUCCAAGCAGUGCCGCAGGGAAGCC
rnacentral:rRNA from 1 species